rnacentral:precursor_RNA from 1 species
UGCGUGCUCACUGCUCUAUCUGUCAGAUUCCGGCUCCGAUUCGGUCCCGGUCACGUUUUCUUCUUCUAAUUGUGUUCCCAUCUCUCACUUUCUCUCUCAUGUGUUCUUCAUCUCUCAAAGGUAUGAAAUGUUAUCUUGGGGUUUUCUUCUGGGGGAAGAGGUUUGGAUUAUCUAUAUCGAUAUUUUGGUAGCCACCCCUUUCAAAUUGGUCAUGCAAAGUCAAAAAGAGAUGAAUACUGCAGGGCUUUUGCGUAACCUAUUUGUAAUAUUCUGUGGUACUGAUUAAGAGUCGAUGUGCUUUGAUCUAUUUAAUUGAUUUCGUCAUGUUGCACAUAUAUGUUAUUGUUGUAGUUUAGAGUGUUCUGCAAGUCCACUGCAGAUUUAUUAUGACAACUUGGAAUUGAAACUUGAAUCAAGAAUUAUCCAAGAUUUAAGGAAUUGACGUAGUACCAAUAGUUCAA